rnacentral:rRNA from 1 species
GGCAGUAAUGCAGUUAACACAUUAAGUGUGCCGCCUGGGGAGUACGGUCGCAAGAUUAAAACUCAAAGGAAUAGACGGGGACCCGCACAAGCGGUGGAGCAUGUGGUUUAAUUCGACGAUACGCGAAGAACCUUACCCGGACUUGACAUAGAAAGAAUAACGCAGAGAUGUGAUAGUGCUUGCUUGCAAGAACUUUCAUACAGGUGCUGCACGGCUGUCGUCAGCUCGUGUCGUGAGAUGUUGGGUUAAGUCCCGCAACGAGCGCAACCCUCGUGUUUAGUUGCUAACAGUUAGGCUGAGAACUCUAAACAGACUGCCUGGGUAACCAGGAGGAAGGUGAGGACGACGUCAAGUCAUCAUGGCCCUUAUGUCCAGGGCUACACGCGUGCUACAAUGGGGCAUACAAAGAGCAGCGAUACCGCGAGGUGGAGCAAAUCUGUUAAAAUGCCUCUCAGUUCGGAUAGCACUCUGCAACUCGAGUGCUUGAAGUUGGAAUCGCUAGUAAUCGUGGAUCAGCAAUGCCACGGUGAAUACGUUCCCGGGUCUUGUACUCACCGCCCGUCACACCAUGGGAAUUGAAUUCAUUCGAAGCGGGGAUGCUAAAAUAGCUACCUUCCACAGUGGAUUUAGUAACUGGGGUGAAGUCGUAACAAGGUAGCCG